GGCAACGGCAGAAACAACGGCGAACGCUCGUUCGAGGAAAGUCCCGAGUGACGGCGACGGCGGCGACGCUGCUGACCCCCCAGCCCACACGACGACGACGACGGUGGCGGCGACGACGACGCUGGUGGCGGCGGCUGCGUUCUGUUAUUAUUUUGCCGCGGUGCUUUUGACCCUUCGAAUCGGGCGAGUUCAUUGCAGCGCUUUCGCGGGGGUGUCAGCCAGUUUUAUUACUCCGGCCUUCUCCGUCCGCAGCAGCAGCGCCGACGGCGCCAGAACACGAUCUGGUGUACGCAGUAUGUCUACUAGUGUAUGUACUCGAUCGCACCAAUAAUCUGGAUUCGUUCAAGUAUCUAUUCAUAGAGCGACAAGUCGCCGACCAACUCUGAACAACGACUCCCAAACGAGUCGAUCGAAAAAGAACUGUAUCGGUGACGUUGCGGCUGAGAAAGGGACGCGACGAACCACGUGAUAUACCUGUCGUCGGGCUGCGUCAUGCAAAGCAUGCUCGAUUCCCCGAUGGCCAUAACCUGAAUCGAGCCGAUUUGACCCGAUUAAACCCGAUCCAACGUAUUCGUAACUGAACGAACGAAUGAAAGAAAACAAACGGUAGCCAUUAACUUUUUUCCCCCUUUGCUCGUGCUUGUGCGCUUUGAACAAAGACUUGUGAAUCGUUCGUUCGUGUGUUUAGAAAUUACAUCGUGCCUCGAUGGUGUGCGAAAGAAAAUAAAAAUUUAGCCAGGAAGAGGGUCAAGCCUGUGAGCUCGUAACAGGUGACUAGAACAAAUGGAAGGAUUUCGACGGUGAUAUACUCGUGUUGUAUCCUCCCGAUUCUUUCCUAGAAACGGUGGAUCUACUUUGAAAUUAAUAGUGCUGUGCCGUACCGUGCAUACAGUGUCAACCAUUACGUGUAGUUAUCUGAAGGUGGUAGCGUGGGAGUCCGACAUUUUAACCGCUCGUAUUAACGAAAAGAUACAAGUGUCCACGUGUGAAAUACGGUCGGUACAUCAGGGGCGUGUGAAUCUCACGCUAUUGGUUACCAAAGGAAAAGUUAAGCACAUUUUGUACUGUGAUCGAAGAACUUCAAGGAAGAAUAAAUGAAGGAAUUUGUGUGAUUUUAUCAAGUAAAAAGGAAAAGUGAAGAUUUUUAGAAAACGAAGCGUUCACUAACAGUUUAGUAUUGUUAAAAAACACUUGUGCUUGUUUUUUGUACUGUAUUGUGAAGUGAAGUUUGUCAGUAUUUGACGAAGCAGAUGAUAAUGAAAAAUACUUGACAUCAGCAUCGAGGAUCAUGGAAGUUGAUAGUGAAAUUGAAUGAGAGACUCGUCUCUGUACUUAUAGCAAUAGAAACAAGGAAGUAAGAAGGUGGUAACUGAACGUAUCGUCGUAAGCUAGUGAAAAUAAGUUGAAAGGACGGGAAGAAGUUCGGGAACGAGGGAAAUCGAACGGGAGAGAGGUGACCAAAAAUCGGUCGCGCUUAUUCGUGGAUCACGUAAUAAGAAGGGAGAGAGAGAGAGAGUGAAAAAGAAAAAGAACUCAGCGCGCGAAGCAUUGUAAAUAAGAGUUAUUUUUCGUAUGAGGGAAAAGAAGACUCAUCUACGUCGGAACGAGGAGAUACGAGUGAGAAGACGUUUAGAAGUCCUUGAACGAAACAAAGUUCCAAGGACUUUCUCUCUCUCCCUCUCUCUCUCUCUCUUGGAAGGAUACACAAGGAACGAUCGAACACUAGUCACGGUGAAGGAAAAGCUCGUGCUAAGAAGGAAACGAGAUACGGUGUCACGAAUAAUUAUCGAGCCUUGAUUUUUCCAUGUUCUUCAUUCAAAAUUGAUCGUAUUUCUUCAGCUUCUAGAGAAAUCUUAAUUCGCGGAGAGUGACUGGCUUAAAUUAAAAAAAGAAAGAAAAAAAGACUGAGAAAUUUUCAGAAAGACAAACGAGAGCAACAUAAGAAGAAAGGAGAGAGAGAGGGAGAGAGAGAGAGAGAGCUGACGAAAGAAGCUGAAAAAAACGAGGGUGUAGUGAUUGAGAGAAGAAAGGAGAAAGAAAGGGACCCUGAAAAAAAAACACCUGGAAAAGAAGGACUGCAGAGAAAGAAAGAAGAUAAAAAGGGAAGUGUGUGGCGAAGAAGGGAUAGAGGGAAAGAGAGAGAGAGAGAGAGAGUGUGCGCUGUGAAGCGGUAUUGAGAGGGCUGGCGUGCCCCAUGUUGUGAGCGUCUGAAGACUGCCGGGGGCAGAAGU